CCUACGGGCGGCAGCAGUGGGGAAUAUUGCGCAGUGGGCGAAAGCCUGACGCAGCGACGCCGCGUGAGGGAUGAAGGUCUUCGGAUCGUAAACCUCUGUCAGCAGGGAAGAACGGUCACUGUGCUAAUCAGCAGUGAAUUGACGGUACCUGCAAAGGAAGCACCGGCUAACUCCGUGCCAGCAGCCGCGGUUAUACGGAGGGUGCGUGCGUUAAUCGGAAUUAUUGGGCUUAAAGGGCUCGUAGGCGGUAUGUCAAGUCAAGGGUGAAAUCCCCGCGCUCAACGUGGGAACUGCCUUUGAAACUGGCAGUCUGGAGUGUGUGAGAGGAUGGUGGAAUUCCAGGUGUAGGAGUGAAAUCCUUAGAUAUCUGGAGGAACAUCAGUGGCGAAGGCGACUAACUGGAACAUAACUGACACUGAGGAGCGAAAGCGUGGGUAGCAAACAGGAUUAGAUACCCUUGUAGUC
rnacentral:rRNA from 1 species